rnacentral:rRNA from 1 species
UACGAAGGGGGCUAGCGUUGUUCGGAAUUACUGGGCGUAAAGGGCGCGUAGGCGUGCCUCAAGUCAGGCGUGAAAGCCCCGGGCUCAACCUGGGAACCGCGCUUGAGACUGGAGUACUAGAGUUCGGGAGAGGAUGGUGGAAAUUUCCCCAGUGUAGAGGUGAAAUUCGUAGAUAUUUGGGAAAGAAACACCGAUGGCGAAAGGGCAGCCCUGGCUAAAGCACUGACGCUGAGGCACGAAAGCGUGGGAAGCAAACAGG